AUUGAACGCUGGCAGCGUGCCUUACACAUGCAAGUCGAACGGUAACAGGUCUUCGGAUGCUGACGAGUGGCGAACGGGUGAGUAAUACAUCGGAACGUGCCUAGUAGUGGGGGAUAACUACCCGAAAGAGUGGCUAAUACCGCAUGAGAUCUACGGAUGAAAGCAGGGGAUCGUAAGACCUUGUGCUACUAGAGCGGCCGAUGGCAGAUUAGGUAGUUGGUGGGAUAAAAGCUUACCAAGCCGACGAUCUGUAGCUGGUCUGAGAGGACGAUCAGCCACACUGGGACUGAGACACGGCCCAGACUCCUACGGGAGGCAGCAGUGGGGAAUUUUGGACAAUGGGCGCAAGCCUGAUCCAGCAAUGCCGCGUGCAGGAUGAAGGCCUUCGGGUUGUAAACUGCUUUUGUACGGAACGAAAAGCCCUGGGUUAAUACCCUGGGGUCAUGACGGUACCGUAAGAAUAAGCACCGGCUAACUACGUGCCAGCCGCCGCGGUAAAAC
rnacentral:rRNA from 1 species